CCCUUGCCAUACUCUGUACCAGGCCGUCCAGCUGCGUGCUAGGGUUCGGGAAGUCUGCUCCGUCGCCUCUCUCGCCCCCUCUCCUUGACCUUAUCCCCCUUCUAUCUUGUACCUAGUUCCGGCGCCGUUGAAGCACGAGCUCCCCUCCUCUCCUCUGAGUCGCGCCCGACGAAGACGUCAUUGCCGCCGGCGAGCACGUAAAUGUAGAGGUGUUGUGCUGUAGCUCCUGGGGUGAAGAGGAACUUCCCAAAGGAGCCGGCUAUCUUCUGCGCCUCGAGGAUUUUAGGAUAUGUUCUCUUAUCUCAUUAUCCAUUUAUCAUGGUCAUAUUGGGUUCUUCCCAUUUGGGAUUUCCCCAAUUUAUUCCAAACUAGUAUCAUUGCGUACUUGAAUAAGUAGUAUGAGCACCAGAUUUCUGUAUGAGAUAUACGACUGCAGAUAUUGUACUGCAAAAUAGCCUAUGCAAAGUUGAAUAACUAGCGUUCUGAACCUUAAUAUGUAUUUUGUAGUAUAGAAAAACCAUAUUUAUGCAAACUCUAAAGUAAGGUUUGUGCAGCUGUGCAGUUGAAUAGGACCUAGCCAUCGUCCUUUAUAGCUCAGGAUCCAAGGUAUGAGCAUCGAAUUUGGUUGUUCUGUUAUCCAUGUACAGUCAUAUUUGCUUCUUCCAGGCCAUUCAGUUUCCCAUGUGUUUGAAGCCAAUGGCAUUUGGGAAUAUGAGAUUGAAAAGGGGUUCAGAGCAAACAGUGAACCAAAAGAAGAAGAGGGCAAAUAGCAUCCAAAAGGUUCCAGAUAAGUAGGGGCAGUGGUUUCACUAAUUUGAUGUUGGAAUAAUUAUGUGAAGUCAUACAGCUGGCUACAUUCUUGCUGGAAAUUGCAGUGAUAUUCAUAGGCGAAGAGGUUUUCGACUUUUGGUGUUUCCAGGAGCUCACAUUUGCAAAUGUGUCACUUAAGCAUGCAUAUGUUCUAUGUCUGUAACCUGGAUGUGGUCACUGUUAGCUUCAGGAAGUCGCUAACAGUAAACCAUGUUGUCUCAUUAUCCGUGUUUAACCAGGAAGAAAAGAUUGUAUGACCUA